GGGAAAACAGUCUUUUCAGUGGCUUUAGCUU
rnacentral:piRNA from 1 species